AGCGAACGCUGGCGGCAUGCCUAACACAUGCAAGUCGCACGGGGGGGCUUCGGCCUCCCAGUGGCGGACGGGUGAGGAACGCGUAGGGACCUGUCGAGGGGUGGGGGAUAACCGCGGGAAACUGCGGCUAAUACCGCAUGACGCCGCGGCGUGACAGCCGGGGCCAAAGGCGAAAGCCGCCCGCCGAGGGGCCUGCGUCCGAUUAGCUGGUUGGCGGGGUAGCGGCCCACCAAGGCGUCGAUCGGUAGCUGGUCUGAGAGGGUGAUCAGCCACACCGGGACUGAGACACGGCCCGGACUCCUGCGGGAGGCAGCAGUGGGGAAUAUUGGACAAUGGGCGCAAGCCUGAUCCAGCAAUGCCGCGUGGGUGAAGAAGGUCUUCGGAUUGUAAAGCCCUUUCGGCGGGGACGAUGGUGACGGUACCCGCAGAAGAAGCCCCGGCUAACUUCGUG
rnacentral:rRNA from 1 species